rnacentral:rRNA from 1 species
CUGGAGGUAUCAGAAGUGCGAAUGCUGACAUAAGUAACGAUAAAGCGGGUGAAAAGCCCGCUCGCCGGAAGACCAAGGGUUCCUGUCCAACGUUAAUCGGGGCAGGGUGAGUCGACCCCUAAGGCGAGGCCGAAAGGCGUAGUCGAUGGGAAACAGGUUAAUAUUCCUGUACUUGGUGUUACUGCGAAGGGGGGACGGAGAAGGCUAUGUUGGCCGGGCGACGGUUGUCCCGGUUUAAGCGUGUAGGCUGGUUUUCCAGGCAAAUCCGGAAAAUCAAGGCUGAGGCGUGAUGACGAGGCACUACGGUGCUGAAGCAACAAAUGCCCUGCUUCCAGGAAAAGCCUCUAAGCAUCAGGUAACAUCAAAUCGUACCCCAAACCGACACAGGUGGUCAGGUAGAGAAUACCAAGGCGCUUGAGAGAACUCGGGUGAAGGAACUAGGCAAAAUGGUGCCGUAACUUCGGGAGAAGGCACGCUGAUAUGUAGGUGAAGUCCCUCGCGGAUGGAGCUGAAAUCAGUCGAAGAUACCAGCUGGCUGCAACUGUUUAUUAAAAACACAGCACUGUGCAAACACGAAAGUGGACGUAUACGGUGUGACGCCUGCCCGGUGCCGGAAGGUUAAUUGAUGGGGUUAGCGGUAACGCGAAGCUCUUGAUCGAAGCCCCGGUAAACGGCGGCCGUAACUAUAACGGUCCUAAGGUAGCGAAAUUCCUUGUCGGGUAAGUUCCGACCUGCACGAAUGGCGUAAUGAUGGCCAGGCUGUCUCCACCCGAGACUCAGUGAAAUUGAACUCGCUGUGAAGAUGCAGUGUACCCGCGGCAAGACGGAAAGACCCCGUGAACCUUUACUAUAGCUUGACACUGAACAUUGAGCCUUGAUGUGUAGGAUAGGUGGGAGGCUUUGAAGUGUGGACGCCAGUCUGCAUGGAGCCGGCCUUGAAAUACCACCCUUUAAUGUUUGAUGUUCUAACGUUGGCCCCUGAUCGGGGUUGCGGACAGUGUCUGGUGGGUAGUUUGACUGGGGCGGUCUCCUCCUAAAGAGUAACGGAGGAGCACGAAGGUUGGCUAAUCCUGGUCGGACAUCAGGAGGUUAGUGCAAUGGCAUAAGCCAGCUUGACUGCGAGCGUGACGGCGCGAGCAGGUGCGAAAGCAGGUCAUAGUGAUCCGGUGGUUCUGAAUGGAAGGGCCAUCGCUCAACGGAUAAAAGGUACUCCGGGGAUAACAGGCUGAUACCGCCCAAGAGUUCAUAUCGACGGCGGUGUUUGGCACCUCGAUGUCGGCUCAUCACAUCCUGGGGCUGAAGUAGGUCCCAAGGGUAUGGCUGUUCGCCAUUUAAAGUGGUACGCGAGCUGGGUUUAGAACGUCGUGAGACAGUUCGGUCCCUAUCUGCCGUGGGCGCUGGAGAACUGAGGGGGGCUGCUCCUAGUACGAGAGGACCGGAGUGGACGCAUCACUGGUGUUCGGGUUGUCAUGCCAAUGGCACUGCCCGGUAGCUAAAUGCGGAAGAGAUAAGUGCUGAAAGCAUCUAAGCACGAAACUUGCCCCGAGAUGAGUUCUCCCUGACUCCUUGAGAGUCCUGA